AUUGACUAGGUUCCUGCAAUUCUUGCUCGCGACCAUUCAUCCGGGUCCGCCGUGUGUACUGCGCCCUUUAGUCCAAGAGAGGCCCGUCAAAAACUCACCCAAUAAAGUGAUUCUUUCAAAGAAGAUGCUCAUCGGUGUUUCACAGUCGGUCAACGGCGAAACUUUUGAACCGCAAUACACGGCAUAUCUUCAACUUCACGAGGUCGACAUUGUUAUAUAUAGCGCUCUCAUUCCUUCUACAUCUGUAUCCAUUGUACAACCGCACGACAAUGAGGAGCACGCAUGAUGCAUACCAAGUCCUCUCUCGCCUUCCUUCUUUUCCUAGUCCUUUCAUCUAACACGAUCAUCUCUUCAAGAGUCGCCGACGCCCGCCCGAUGAGCAACGGAGGAAGCCGUGUCGAAAAGCUGGCGGUGAGCAAGAUUGAUGUUUGUGGAAGUCAACCUGUCCAUGCCCCUCAUGGGGCUGGGCCAUGCCCGCCGCCAUUCAAGUGAUUCUCGAUUAUUAGUUUUUCUGUUCGAUUGCUCCUAAUGUAUGUUGGUGUUAAUAAGAAAUGAAUAAUUUGCUUUCUAUGCUCUCCAUGGUUAAUUAGGAUUUUCCACGUACUUUUGUUCAUGGAGCUCGAAUAACUUUUUUGAAUACCCUGCUAUUGGAAAGAAUGUAAAUUGUUUGUUUAUUGAAUUGAUAUCCCUAUGCCUUUUCACCGAA